UCUUCCUCAAUGGGCGAAAGCCUGAUGGAGCAACGCCGCGUGAGUGAAGAAGGUUUUNNNAUCGUNACACUCUGUUGUAAGGGNAGCNCAAGUACAGUAGUAACUGGCUGUACCUUGACGGUACCUUAUUAGAAAGCCACGGCUAACUACGUGCCAGCAGCCGCGGUAAUACGUAGGUGGCAAGCGUUGUCCGGAAUUAUUGGGCGUAAAGCGCGCGCAGGCGGUCCUUUAAGUCUGAUGUGAAAGCCCACGGCUCAACCGUGGAGGGUCAUUGGAAACUGGGGGACUUGAGUGCAGAAGAGGAAAGUGGAAUUCCAAGUGUAGCGGUGAAAUGCGUAGAGAUUUGGAGGAACACCAGUGGCGAAGGCGACUUUCUGGUCUGUAACUGACGCUGAGGCGCGAAAGCGUGGGGAGCAAACAGG
rnacentral:rRNA from 1 species